rnacentral:tRNA from 16 species
GGAGGGAUGGCAGAGCGGUUGAAUGCACCGGUCUUGAAAACCGGCAAGGGUUAAUAGCCCUUCCAGGGUUCGAAUCCCUGUCCCUCCGCCA